UACGGAGGGUGCAAACGUUGCUCGGAGUCAUUGGGCGUAAAGCGCACGUAGGCGGUCGCGCAAGUUGGAUGUGAAAGCCCCGGGCUCAACCUGGGAAGUGCAUCCAAAACUGCGCGACUCGAGUCCCAGAGGGGGUCGGAGAAUUCCCGGUGUAGAGGUGAAAUUCGUAGAUAUCGGGAGGAAUACCAGUGGCGAAGGCGCCGACCUGGAGGGGUACUGACGCUGAGGUGCGAAAGCGUGGGGAGCAAACAGG
rnacentral:rRNA from 1 species